CUACAGCAAUCAACUAUUCUCCGAAUCUCUUCCGGACUUCUCCCAACCAUGAUCGACUUUACUCCGGACUCCUUUCGGGCUUCGUCGACGUCUGAGCUUCCCCAACAAUAGGGCUUCUGCAAUAGCUAGGUUCCAUCCAAGUUUCCAUGACGGUCGACCGCCUUCCGAAUUUUAUCCGGGCUCCUACGGGAGUUGGAUCCCGGACG
rnacentral:lncRNA from 1 species